rnacentral:lncRNA from 1 species
UUUUCCGCUGGACAAACUUGGCACCCCGGCCUUCGGGCGGUUAUUUUUGGGCGCGGCAUUGACCGCGGCCUAUUUUUGGCACACGGAGGUUCCUCGCAAAGUCUCGCUGCAUUCCGAGUCCGUCGGACGAAGUGGGCCAGCCCCACCCCCCAAGGCAAUAGCCCACCCGUUUUUGUGGCCUUUUUCCGCUGGACGAACCUGGCGCCCCGGCCUUCGGGCGGUUAUUUUUGGGCGCGGCAUUGCCCCGGCCUAUUUUUGGCACACGGAGGCCCCUUGCAAAAUCUUGCGGCAUUUCGAGUCCGGCGGACGAAGUUGGCCAUUCCCACCCCCCAAGGGUAUAGCCCACCCGUUUUUGUGGCCUUUUUCCGCUGGACGAACCUGGCGCCCCGGCCUUCGGGUGGUUAUUUUUGGGGGCGGCUUUGCCCGCGGCCUAUUUUUGGUACACGGAGGCCCCUCGCAAAGUCUCGCGCCAUUCCGAGUCCGGGGGACGAAGUUGGCCAGCCCCACCCCCUAAGGCUAUCACCCACCCGUUUUUGUGGCCUUUUUUCGCUGGACGAACCCGGCGCCCCGGCCUUCGGGUGGUUAUUUUUGGGCACGGCUUUGCCCGCGGACUAUUUUUGGCACAUGGAGGACCCUCACAAAGUCUCGCAGCAUUCCGAGUCCGGCGGACGAAGUUGGCCAGCCCCACCCCCAAAGGCUAUAGCCCACCCGUUUUUGUGGCCUUUUUCCGCUGGACGAACUUGGCGCCCCGGCCUUCGGGCGGUUAUUUUUGGGUGCGGCAUUGACCGCGGCCUAUUUUUGGCACACGGAGGUCCCUUGCAAAGUCUCGCUGCAUUCCGAGUCCGGCGGACGAAGUGGGCCAGCCCCACCCCCCAAGGCAAUAGCCCACCCGUUUUUGUGGCCUUUUUCCGCUGGACGAACCUGGCGCCCCGGCCUUCGGGCGUUUAUUUUUGGGGGCGGCUUUGCCCGCGGCCUAUUUUUGGUACACGGAGGCCCCUCGCAAAGUCUCGCGCCAUUCCAAGUCCGGGGGACGAAGUUGGCCAGCCCCACCCACUAAGGCUAUCACCCACCCGUUUUUGUGGCCUUUUUUCGCUGGACGAACCUGGCGGCCCGGCCUUCGGGCGGUUAUUUUUGGGCACGGCUUUGCCCGCGGCCUAUGUUUGGCACAUGGAGGACCCUCACAAAGUCUCGCGGCAUUCCGAGUCCGGCGGACGAAGUUGGCCAUCCCCACCCCCCAAGGCUAUAACCCACCCGUUUUUGUGGCCUCUUUCCGCUGGACGAACUUGGCGCCCCGGCCUUCGGGCGGGGUUUUGCGCACGGCCUAUUUUUGGCACAGGGAGGCCCCUCGCCAAGUCUCGCGGCAUUCCGAGUCCGGUGGACGAAGUUGGCCAGCCCCACCCCCCAAGGCUAUAGCCCACCCGUUUUUGUGGCCUCUUUCCGCUGGACGAAGUUGGCGCCCCGGCCUUCGGGCGGUUAUUUUUAGGCGCGGUUUAGCGCGCGGCAUAUUUUUGGCACAGGGUGGCCCCUCGGAAAGUCUCGCUCCUUUCCGAGUCCGGCGGACGAAGUUGGCCAGCCCCACCCCCCAAGGCUAUAGCCCACCCGUUUUGGUGGCCUCUUUCCGCUGGACGAACUUGGCGCCCCGGCCUUCGGGCGGUUAUUUUUGGGCGCGGCUUUGCCCGCGGCCUAUUUUUGGCACACGGAGGCCCCUCGCAAAGUCUCGUGGCAUUCCGAGUCCGGCGGACGAAGUUGGCCAGCGCCAACCCCCAAGGCUAUAGCCCACCCGUUUUUGUGGCCUUUUUCCGCAGGACGAACUUGGCGCCCCGGCCUUCGGGCAGUUAUUUUUGGGCGUGGCUUUGCCCGCGGCCUAUUUUUGGCACACGGAGGCCCCUCACAAAGUCUCGAUGCAUUCCGAGUCCGGCGGACGAAGUUGGCCAGCCCGACCCCCCAAGGCUAUAGCCACCCGUUUUUGUGGCCUUUUUCCGCCGGACGAACUUGGCGCCCCGGCCUUCGGGCGGUUAUUUUUUGGGCGCGGUUUUACCUGCGGCCUAUUUUUGGCACAUGGAGGCCCCUCGCAAAGUCUCGUGGCAUUCCGAGUCCGGCGGACGAAGUUGGCCAGCCCCACCCCCCAAGGCUAUAGCUCACCCGUUUUUGUGGCGUUUUUCCGCUGGACGAACUUGGCGCCCCGGCCUUCGGGCAGUUAUUUUUGGGCACGGUUUUUCCCGCGGCCUAUUUUUUGCACACGAAGGCCCCUCGCAAAGUCUCGCGGCAUUCAGAGUCCGGCGGACGAAGUUGGCCAGCCCCACCCCCCAAGGCUAUAGCCCAACCGUUUUUGUGGCCUUUUUCCGCUGGACGAACUUGGCGCCCCGGCCUUCGGGCAGUUAUUUUUGGGCGCGGCUUCGCCCGCGGGCUAUUUUUGGAACACGGAGGACCCUCGCAAAGUCUCGCGGCAUUCCGAGUCAGGCGGACGAAGUCGGCCAGCCCCACCCCCCAAGGCUAUAGCCCACCCGUUUUUGUGGCCUUUUUCCGCUGGACGAACUUGGCGCCCCGGCCUUCGGGCAGUUUUUGUGCCCGCGGUUUUUUUUUGCACACGGAGGCUGCUCGCAAAGUCUCACACCAUUCCGAGUCCGGCGGACGAAGUUGGCCAGCCCCACCCCCCAAGGCUAUAGCCCACCCGUUUUUGUGGCCUUUUUGCGCUGGACGAACUUGGCGCCCCGGCCUUUGGGCUGUUAUUUUUGGGUGCGGCUGUGCCCGCGGCCUAUGUUUGGCACACGGAGGCCGCUCGCAAAGUCUCGCGCCAUUCCGGGUCCGGCGGACGAAGUUGGGCAGCCCCACCCCCCCAAGGUUAUAGCUCACCCGUUUUUGUGGCCUUUUUCCGCUGGACGAACUUGGCGCCCCGGCCUUCGGGCGGUUAUUUUUGGGCGCGGCUUUGCCCGCGGCGUAUUUUUGGCACACGGAGGCGCCUCGCAAAGUUUCGCGACAUUCCGAGUCCGGCGGACGAAGUUGGCCAGCCCCACCCCCCAAGGCUAUAGCCCACCCGUUUUUGUGGGCUUUUUCCGCUGGACGAACUUGGCGCCCUGGCCUUCGGGCGGUUAUUUUUGGGCGCGGCUGUGCCCGCGGCCUAUUUUUGGCACACGGAGGCGCCUCGGAAGGUCUCGCCCCAUUCCGAGUCCGGCGGACGAAGUCGGCCAGCCCCACCCCCCAAGGCUAUAGCCCACCCCCUUUUUGUGCCCUUUUUCCUCUGGGCGAACUUCGCGCCCCGGCCUUCGGGCGGUUAUUUUUGGGCGCAGCUGUGCCAGCGGCCUAUUUUUGGCACACGGAGGCGCCUCGCAAAGACUCGCGCCAUUCCGAUUCCGGCGGACGAAGUUGGCCAGCCCCACCCCCCAAGGCUAUAGCCCACCCGUUUUUGUGGGCUUUUUCCGCUGGACGAACUUGGCGCCCCGGCCUUUGGGAGGUUAUUUUUGGGCGCGGCUGUUCCCGCAGCCUAUUUUUGGCACACGGAGGCGCCUCGCAAAGACUCGCGCCAUUCCGAGUCCGGCGGACGAAGUUGGCCAGCCCCACCCCCAGGGCUAUAGCCCACCCGUUUUUGUGGCCUUUUUCCGCUGGACGAACUUGGCGUCCCGGCCUUCGGGCGGUUAUUUUUGGGUGCGGCUUUGCCCGCGGCCUAUUUUUGGCACACGGAGGUGCCUCGCAAAGUCUCGCGCCAUUCUGAGUCCGGCGGACGG